UACCAGCUCUCCGAGUGGUAGGGAUGAUUAUUGGGCUUAAAGCGUCCGUAGCCGGCUUAGCAAGUCUCCUGUCAAAUUCAGCGACCUAAUCGUUGAGCCGCGGGAGACACUACUAGGCUAGGAGGCGGGAGAGGCCGACGGUAUUCUCGGGGUAGGGGUGAAAUCCUAUAAUCCCGGGAGGACCACCAGUGGCGAAGGCUGUCGGCUAGAACGCGCUCGACGGUGAGGGACGAAAGCUGGGGGAGCGAACCGGAUUAGAUACCCGGGUAGUCCCAGCCGUAAACGAUGCGGGCUAGGUGUUGGGGUGGCUACGAGCCACUUCAGUGCCGCAGGGAAGCCAUUAAGCCCGCCGCCUGGGGAGUACGGCCGCAAGGCUGAAACUUAAAGGAAUUGGCGGGGAGCACCACAAGGCGUGAAGCUUGCGGUUC
rnacentral:rRNA from 1 species